rnacentral:rRNA from 1 species
GACGAACGCUGGCGGCGCGCUUAACACAUGCAAGUCGAACGGAAAGGCCUGCUUUCCCUUGUGGAUUGCGGGUACUCGAGUGGCGAACGGGUGAGUAACACGUGAGUGAUCUGCUCCCAACUUGGGUCUAAGCCUGGGAAACUGGGUCUAAUUCCCGAUAGGACUGCAGGGUGGUGCCGGUGUUGGAAAACGACUUUCUAGUGGUUGGGGAUGAGCUCGCGGCCUAUCAGCUUGUUGGUGGGGUAAUGGCCGACCAAGACGGCGACGGGGAGUCGGCGUGGGAGGGUGGACACUCACAUUGGGACUGGGACACGGCCCAUACGCGUACGGGAGGUGGGAGUGGGGGGUAUAGCAGAAGGAGCGGAAGCCUGAUGCAGCGAGUGCGCGUGGAGGAUGACGGCCUUCGGGAGGUAAACUCCUGUGGACCGAGAGGAAGCCACCUGGAUGGAAGGGUUGUGACGGUAGUGGAAGAAGAAGCACCGGCUAACUACGUG